rnacentral:rRNA from 1 species
AAUUAGUUGCAGUUAAAGCUCGUAGUUGAAUUUCUGCUAAAAAUAACCGGUCUGCUUUUAAUAAAGGUGGUAUCUUGGUGUGUUUUUAGCAAUAAUGUCCUUUGAAAUGUUUUUUACUUUAUUGUAAUAAAUUAUAUUCAGGAUUUUUACUUUGAGAAAAUUAGAGUGUUUCUAGCAGGCUAACGCUUUGAAUACUGCAGCAUGGAAUAAUAAAAUAGGAUUUUGGUUCUACAUUAUUGGUUUUAAGAGCUAAAUUAAUGAUUGAUAGGGACAGUUGGGGGCAUUUGUAUUUAACUGUCAGAGGUGAAAUUCUUAGAUUUGUUAAAGACAAACUACUGCGAAAG